UGAAUCCUACGGGGGGCAGCAGUGGGGGAUAUUGCACAAUGGGGGCAACCCUGAUGCAGCGACGCCGCGUGGGUGAAGGAGCGUUUCGGCGCGUAAAGUCCUAUCGGCAGGGAAGAAGAUGACGGUACCUGACCAAGAAGCCCCGGCUAACUACGUGCCAGCAGCCGCGGUAAUACGUAGGGGGCAAGCGUUAUCCGGAUUUACUGGGGGUAAAGGGGGCGCAGACGGCAAUGCAAGCCAGGAGUGAAAGCCCGGGGCCCAACCCCGGGACUGCUCUUGGAACUGCAUGGGUGGAG
rnacentral:rRNA from 1 species